rnacentral:rRNA from 1 species
CUACGAGGUGCAGCAGUGGGGAAUAUUGCACAAUGGAGGAAACUCUGAUGCAGCAACGCCGCGUGGAGGAUGACACUUUUCGGAGCGUAAACUCCUUUUAUAUAGGAAGAAGAUGACGGUACUAUAUGAAUAAGCGCCGGCUAACUCCGUGCCAGCAGCCGCGGUAAUACGGAGGGCGCAAGCGUUACUCGGAAUCACUGGGCGUAUAGAGCGUGUAGGCGGAUUAAAAAGUCAGAAGUGAAAUCCUAUAGCUUAACUAUAGAACUGCUUCUGAAACUCUUAAUCUAGAAUAUGGGAGAGGUAGAUGGAAUUUCUGGUGUAGGGGUAAAAUCCGUAGAGAUCAGAAGGAAUACCGAUUGCGAAGGCGAUCUACUAGAACAUUAUUGACGCUGAGACGCGAAAGCGUGGGGAGCAAACAGGAUUAGAUACCCCCGUAGUC